AUUUAAUUUGACAUUUAAAAACAAAACAGUGUUUAAAUACUGUAAAAAUUUAAUACCAAACUCGUGCUGGAUCCCUUCCAUGUUUAUGUCAAUAAUCAAAAUAGGUAGAAAUUUGAUUGUUUUAUAUUAAGUAUGCUCUCUCACAAAACUUUAAAGAGAGUGUUUUUGUUUGAAAGUAUUUUAUUUGAAUCUGAUUGAACUUGAAGUACAGAUCCUGCAUCUGCAUUAAUACUAUAUUAGUCAGAUUGAUCUUAUUCAGUAAAUUAACCUUGUUUUAGUUUGUAUGUUUUACCUUAAUUGUCAUUGUCAUUUCUUCUUUGGACUAUCCUGGUGGUGUCCUGUAGUUUCCUAACUUUUUUGUUGUUAUAGUACUAAUAAGUUGUCUAAGAAGGCACCACCAUUUAAUAAAUAUAUAAUACAGAUUUGAUUACUCAUGCACUAUUUGCAUCUUUUAAAGAACAGUUUUAUUUGUUAUCUGUGGGCAUAAAAGAAACUGAGGUCUCAAUCUGACUUUUCCAUUAUAAUGCAUUUGUAAUGCAGGGUAUUAUUUAGCUUGGUUGUUUUUAGACAUUCCAUUAUUAAGUACAGCCUUUGAAUCCAUGAAUUUUACUGUUAUUAUGUGUUUUUACUGUAUUCAUUGCAUUGCUUGAUUGCAUUGGUGUUGCUUUUGUAAAUUGCAUCUUUAUUCACAUGUAGAAGCUUAUAGAUUAAUAGAUGCUUGACAAAAAAAUGUUAAAAAAAACAAAACUCAACUUGAAUCAGUAUGUAUCUUCCUAUAACAUAUUUUUAUACGACCAAAAAUUAAAUAAGUUUGGUAUCAUGUUGUUGUCAUCAGAGUCGUCCAAAGAGAGAAUGUUUCCGGAUAAUUACUUUAUUAUAAGUAAAUAGAAAUCAAUAAAAUUUUAACACUAAAGGAAGGUUGGGAUUGAUUUUGGGGGUUAUGGUCCAAACUGUUUAGGAAUAAGCAUUUUUGUAGUUUCCAGACAAUAACUUGUGUUAAGUGUAUGAAUCUCUCUGAAAUUAUACCACAAGUUUCCAUACUACAAAGGGAUGGUUAGGAUUGACUUCGGGCAGUUAUGGCUCAAACCAUUUAGAAAUUAGGGGCAAAAAAAGGGGAAAAACAAGGGUUUUUCUGGUUAAAGGACAAUUGUGGCAAUUAAAGAGAAGGGAAAGGGAGGUAAUCCAAAUUUAUUAGAACAAUGUUUGAUUACCUCCCUUACACUGCUAGUAAAUUAUGUAUUAAGAAUUAUGUAUUAAGAAAUGAUGAUUGUCUUGAGGUGAUUAUAUUUUAGCUGACAAUUUAUUUUUAGCAGUUACUAUUAAAUAAUAUUAAUUUCAGCCAUGACUAUGUAUGUCAUUUUAUAUUUUAAAACUUUUAUGAUGUAUUCAAAUGGGUAAUUAUGGUUGCAAACUCAAUUAGAAAUUUGAAUUGAGAUACUGACCAUAUCUUGAGGGACAGAAUUUUUUUUGGACUAAGGGAAAGAGGAGGACAAUUUUUCUCAUUUCAGAUUCAGAAAUUAAAAGAAAAUUUCUUCAACUCAACUUUUUAUUUUUUUUUGGAGGGAGGGGGUUAACAUUCAAAGGCAAAGUGUAUUAUUUAAAACAGGGGUAACUUUUUUUGUAUUGGGGGGGGGGGGGGGGUAUAUUCGCAACAGCAUAGUGUAUUGCACAAAAGCAAAAAAAUGAAUAUAAAUUCAAAUCAAAUAACUAAUUUGAAGUUCUUUGACUACAGUUAUUCUGUGUCAGAACCUAUUAUGUGUCAAAAAUUUAAUUAAUAUCCAAAUUCUGACCUGUAUCAAGCGUGAAUAUUGUGGCCAUUUUGGCCCCAACUUUUCAGUGUUGGACAUCUGCGGUCGUAUCCAGCAGUGCUCAGCGAAGCAAAUUUAUUAGUUGUAUGUUGUGAUACAUUUAUCAACAAUCAAGACCAAUCUACUUUUUAGUGGAAAUAGUUAGAAACCCACCUAAAUGUAAAUAAUAUUUGUAGACCAAAAACAAACCAUGACUUAAAAAACUAAAUAAGUGCUAAAAUAGUGUUAUGAUUCUUACAAACUUAAAGGUUUUCUAUAGAACCUGAAUAGACUCAUAUCUUAACCAAUACAUGUUUAUUUAAACCUUUUUAAACUGUUAAAAAGUGAUAUCAAUAAGUAGAUUUUAUAGUUAUUUUUUCAAUUGUGUUGAUGAUCUCAAGCCUUGUAUAUAUAUUUAACUUCUCCAAGGAUAAGCCAGUAUACACUAUAGUAUAAUAAUGAUUCUACAUCUCUACCAGUGUUCUCCUGUCAUCCUGGUAAACAGGAAAUUGUGAAGUACCUUCUUGUUUCUAGAACUUAUAGCAUCACAUCCAUAUUAUUAUCUAUAAUAAACUAAUUUCAGAUAGCAUCACAUCCUAGCAAUAUAGCAUCACAUUAGCAUGAUGCUAAAACACCAUUGGGAGAAUACUGAGUGUAACACUGACAUGUAAACUGGAUAAGAUGAACAGUAAUAAAAUUACAUGUAUGUUUCAUAAAAAUCUGUUCUUUUGAUUGGCUGAUCAAUAAUAUUUGUGAGGCAUUCCAUAAUCAAAUUGUAGUUUUUAUAAAAUGCAAAAUUCAUGACUGCAAAUGCCUCUUAUGACAACAACACAAUUCAUAGGAAAACAAAAGGAAAGCUUUAUAUAUAACUUGUUGUAGCAUAAAAAUGUAAUAAGAAUUGAAAGCUUUUUGUAAUUUUAUAGUGUUGUAAAAGGGUUGAUUCUGCACACACUUUUAGCGAUAAGCCAUUUCAGUUCUUCAUACUAAAUGUACUUUGGUCAAUGCUUUAACACUCCUAUAAAAUUACAAAAGAAUUACUCAAUUGUUAAAUAAGUUUUACUUCCAAGUUUUAUAGACUGUUUGUCUCAUUUUUGAGGAUUUUAAGCUAUGGCUGUGUGUUAUUUGUCUCAUUCUUGAGGACUAUAAGUUAUGACUGUGAUAUAUUUAUCUUGCCUUUUGUAUUAUAUAUAUGUUGCAAUAUGUAGAUCAUAAUAGAUAAUAUCUGUAGAACAUGAUGUGAUCAAAGUUUUAUUAUUCUUCAUUUAAAAGUUGAUAUGUAUGUCACAGUAAUCAUUUUGUAUAAUUGAUAAAAAGCAACAUUGUAACAAAAAUAGCAACACACAUGUCUCUUGUUAGGUUCAUCAAAUGUUAGUAGAUUUUGUAAAUUAUUGUUUAAUUUAUUUAAGAGAGCAUUCCAUUAAUUUAAGUAUAUUUUAUAUGACCAAUAUGUUUGUGCAUGUACCUUUCAGGUAUUUUAAGUCAAUGUAAAUAAGAAAAUAGAAUUAUGAAAGAAUUUGCUUAAUUUGGCAAAUGAAUGCAUUCUUGAAUUGAACAUUUUGUUAUAUCAAUAAAACCGGUUAAGAAACAUGUACAGUUGUAAGAAUGAGAAAGAUUUUUAAAAUUUCAAUCAGAAAUUUUGUUUGAAAAGAUAUACAGCUGUAAUCUAGUAUCCCACCAUCUUUGUUGUCAUUUUCCUCACAUUAACAUAUUACUCACAAUACAUUCACAAAUCAUGGGUAUCAUCAGUUCUAAAGACAGGGGAUAGUCAAUACAAAUUCAUUUGAGAAAGAGAUUCAACAAGUGUAACAUAUGGCAUACUUUAUUUCUCCACUUAUGACAAUUGAUAUUUUAUAUGCUAGAUAAGUCUCAUGUUAUAGAAAUUUGUCUGUCUGUCUGUCUGUAUGUGGGGGAAAAAAAAAGUUAUCACACUUGAUACUGUGGUAGAACUAAGUAUGUAAGUGAUUCAACAUUGACAGAUCCAUCACCAAAUCUAUCCGUCAAUGUUUUUAAUGUUUGUUUAAGAUUUUUAAAAGAUCACUGAAGAGAGAUACUGGUAAAAGCUUUUGUAUUUGAGAUACUGGUAUUUUUAGUGUGUGUGUAUGUGAUAUUAAAUUAACUGUUAUUUGUUUUAUGAAGACAUUAUUAUGAUACUGUCUGUUAUUUAAGCAUUUGUUAUCUUGUCAUAAUGUGCAAUAAAUGACUUUGAAAUGGU
rnacentral:lncRNA from 1 species